CAAUCUGUGGCAACUAUCAUUUCUUAUUCUUGCUCAGCCCAUGAAUGGCAAUCCUUGUCAAGCAUCCCAUCUACAUAGGAAAUAUGUAGAACGAUGUUUAAACUGAAUCCUAACAAGAGUCCUGGUCCAGAUGGCUUAACCUCAGGGUUCUAUAAGGCAGCUUGGGGUAUAAUACUAGGGAUCGAAGUUGCUGGAUCUAUCCAAAAAAAUUUCGCUUCUCCAGAGAUGCCAACAUCUAUCAACUCGACCAUCCUCACGCUAGUUCCAAAGUUCUCUGGUGCCACCUCGAUUAACGAUUAUAGACCAAUAUCUUGUUGUAACACUAUUUACAAGACUAUUUCGAAACUUUUAGUUGCAAGGAUCAAGCCUCUACUUCCUAAAAAUAUGAGACACACUUAUGUUUAUUUCCUCUAAAAUUCAGUACAAAGUAUGGAUCUUUGUAUACUCACAAGAACGUCAGCUCGUGAAGCAAUGUCUGAUCCAACUUUGAGUUCAUCGGAUCGUUUGUUGAUAAGGUUAAUGUUCUUAGUCAUCCCAUUCUUAUGCAAAACCUUCCUCAUAAGCUUAACCAUCGGUAAGUAGGACUCACACGCCGUCACCAUUCCUUUUGAAUCACCAGACUCUUCUUCUUCUCCUCUCAUUGCUCUCACAGCCAUCAUCGAUAGCAACCCAGUUCCAGCACUAGACACACACAAAUUCCACAUUCUCCAUAUCAAAAUCUGAGUGUUUAAACCAAGAAUUGAAUCAAGUUUAUGGAAAUGAGAAUACGAACCCAAUGUCAAGGACGUGGCAAGGUUCAGUGAUGGUUUUCUCGAUAGCGAGACGAUAAGCUCUGUUGCGGCGAGAAUCAUUAAGCAUGUCGAGAUACGACGUCGUGGCGAGGAGGCCGUCAGUGGAAGUUCCGGGUUGGUCAUUGUCUUCGAUGACAAUCCACUCGGAAUUGCCGGUGAGAGGGUCUUGUCUGAGCUGGAAGACGCGUUGACUAGACUGAGAGCUCAUGGUUCGAGCAGCGACGGAGCUUCUUAGGCGAGUCACUGAGUGGCACCGGAAGGAGAUAAAGGUUUUGGGAAGAAGAAGAGAAAACAGAGACGACAUUAACGGAAGAGCUCUUUAAGGUUUUUUUUAGUCGUCGUUAGUCGUGAUAAGAGACUUUCCGGUGAUUGUUUAUGUUUAUUGUUUAUUUAGGCCCUCUUUAUUUUCUUUUUAUUGCAAAUGAACCCCAGAGUUUUGAAAAUUUAAGUACAAGUAAAACAAUCCCAACUCUGUGAUGCCAACAAGUGGCACAACGUAAUUGGAUAAAUGAUUUUAUACUAAAAAAUUAGGGCAUAAAAUAAAUUAUUCUUUUAACUAACUAUUGUGAUCUACUAUUUUUAAAAAUUUAAUGUAAUUUAUUAUGAUUGUGCACCAUAACUAUCUUUAACGAAAAUCAAUUAAUGCUCUUGAAAUACAAUAUUUGUUGAAAAUAUAUACAUAUAUUACAGUAGAAAGACAAAUAAAACAUUUCUAAGAAGUUAUACAGAUAUUAAAAACAUAAAUAUAAAAAGUAAAAUACAAAAAUUGACCAUACAAUACAUUUAUAUUGUAAGAGUAAUCAAAUAGUAAAAUAAAUAUUACAAAAAUUCAAGCAAAGACAAAAUACCAUAUCCUAGAAGCCUUUCUAUCAAUUAUACUUAUAUUAAAACAAAAUUAAUUUAUAAAAAAAGAUAAAUGAAAAGAAGUUUUGGCCGUCAGUUGGAAUUGGUUAUCCGGCGGCAUAGCGCGAGUUUUGUAUCUAGUAAAUUUUAAAGACCAUCAUGGAAAUGAAUUAUAAUAACAUUAUAUGAAUUAUAUUUUAAUCUAAUAUCUUGAUUUGUUGAAUAUGUUAAUCCAAAUGGACAGAUAAACUAAAAAGAACUUACAAUUUGACCAGUUUCUUGAAGAAAAUAAAUUUCACAACUACAUAAAAAGUGAAAAACAAAUUAAGUACAUGUAAAAGAUUUUUUGACAAGUGAUAACUCUCUCUUAAAGGUGCGUGCAGAGCCGGUCCAAACGGCCGAGUUUCAAAGCUGCUAAAAACUUGCUGGUAUGUAAAGAAUCAUUCCUCUACCCUCUACGAUCUACACUUUAAACACAUUACUUGCAAUUUUUUUCUUCUUUUCUUUUUGAAGUGGACAUGCUAAUUUCGUUUAUCUUUGGUGGGACUUUGAAAAUAAUGAUAUUGAAGAUAGCCAAGUUGUUAGUUUAGUUAAGCGCAUAGAGGCUUGUCUUCGUUUAAUAGACCCUUCUCUAAGCUUAAGACUAUGGGUUUCCUUAGAAGGAUACACCGAGGCAUUCACUUACAUGCCCCAAGUGUAAGGAGAUAAACCCAUUUGUUAGACCAUUUCAGACUUCAUCUUACAUCACAAAACCUUAUAAGUGUAUGAAGGAGAUUGCUGAUUGCAUGAUUGUACAAGGUCUCAUAAAACAUGUAUCUAUGGAUACUGGAUCCAAGAAUGUUGCGCUUCUUUCGGGUGAUGGGGACUUUUCUUUACCGUUGAAUUCUCUUAGAAGACAUGGCUACAAAGUUUUUCUAUUCCAGAAAGAAGAUUCAAAGUAGGAGCUUAAAGUUAGUGCAUCUUACACAUGGGUGUUGCAGAAUAUCUUCUAAAAUAAUAUUGAUUAUCCACGCAUAAUUUACCGGAUCUCGGUAAUUUAGUGAAUUUUAGUUAGUUUUUAGGUUUUGUCUUCUGAUAUUUUAUUAUAUGAUUUUUAAUAGUCGUUUUUUGUUAAUCAAGGAUAAGUUUCUAAUAUAUGUUAUCAGGUUUACAUUAUUUGUCUAUUGUGGUUUGUUGUAUGAUUUACAUGGUUCUCAAGUCUUCAUUAACGACAUGUUCUUAAUCGGAUAACAUAUGCUUUAACUUUCCUACCAAAAAAAAAAACAUUUGCUUUAACUUUCCUACCAAAAAAAAAACAUAUGCUUUAACUUUGUUAUGGAAAUGAGAAGAACCCGCUCACCAAAAAAAAAAAGAAAGUUGUGUGAUACCAAAUAAACUCUCUAAUCCAGGAGGAACUAGCCGGACACCAUAGGCCCUCAUUGUUUUAUUUGUAUUGCAAAUUAUACCCAUACUUUUGAAAAUUAAGACAAGUAAGACUGUACUAAAUCGGAACUUAUAGGAAUUAAGGGGUAAACUCAGGAAUACAAAAUAUUUGUGGGGUUAAAAAUGAAAAGAUCCAAAUUUUUAGUUUCGGAGAAAAAAAGAGUUCUUUGGCCGGAGAACAACUUUCCCAUUUCCACAACUUCGAAAUCGAAAUCCAUCCAAACGUAAGAAUAAUGGCGGGAGCGAAUCAGGCGUGUAUCUUCUGUGAGAUCGUGCGAAAUCCAACCACCACUCGUCUCCUUCACACCGUUACCUUCUUCUUCCCUUCUCUUGUUGUUUGGAUCAUCAUCAGAGGCUAAAAUUGAAGAAGUUCUCUUACGUCUGCGAUUAUCUUUUUUUCAGGAUGAGAAAGUCAUCGCCUUUCAAGAUAUCAAACCUGCCGCCCAGAGGUUCGUGUCUCUGUUCACUCACUUUGCUUCUAUCGAUUUUUGUGAAUUGAGUUUGAUUCCGUUUUACUUAAGCUUUGUCUACUGUAAUCAAUUUGCAUCUCCUUGCUUAAUUGGCUACCAUUUACUAGUAUUUAUGAACAAAGCACUAAUGAUGUAGGCACUAUUUGGUGAUUCCAAAAGAACACAUUCCUACUGUGAAUGACCUUGAGAUAAGAGAUGAAGACUACUCACUUGGUUGGUUAGCUAAACAUAUUUAUACAUCGUUUUCUGUUAUACCUAUGUGAAGUUUCGAUAAGGAUGUUAGUUUUAUGAUUUGAACAGUAAGACACAUGCUUAAUGUGGGACAAGAACUGUUGCAGAAAGAUGCUCCUCAAAACAUUCAUAGGUGAGGUUUCUUGCUUACAAACACUAAAUGAAACCAAUUAUGAAUAAACCUGAUCUGUACUUUCUUACAGAUUUGGUUUUCACCAGCCGCCAUUUAACAGUGUUGAUCAUCUACAUCUCCACUGUUUUGCAUUGCCUUAUGUGCCCAGGUACAGAUAUGCUUCAUACUCGUUGAUCUUUCUUGGGAAAUUCUUUGCAUCUCUCUUACUUUCCCAUGAUUUAAAACAUUGAAUAAGUUUUCUUAACAUAUACUGUAUAACAGAUGGAAAGCCAUCAAGUACAAGUCUUUGGGACCUUUGGGUGGAUUUAUUGAAGCAGAGACACUGCUGGAGAAGAUAAGGCCUCUUCUUUCAAAGGUGUAACUCUACCAACUUACGUAACCGCAUUGCUUCUCUAUGCUAAAACUGUGCAAUAUCUCUGUUCUAUUCUUUUGCUGGCAAAUCUGUUAUCAAAUGCCAAAUAUUAUUGGGGAUUUUGUAUAUGAAAGAAGGAUGUGUCAAGUAAUUUAUAAGUUCUGCCACUGUCUGAUAGUUGUAGGCAGUGACGCCAAUCUCAUUGUUCCAUAUAUUAUGGGUAUAAGACGUAUACAUGAAGGAUUCUGAUGUAAUCUCUGGAGUAACUGCCAUAAGAUGUAGACUUAAUCAGAGACUUAAUUCCAUAUAGGAUCUCUGGUAUAUGUGGACUUUCUUGUGUUGCUUUGAUGCUCUGACAUCUCUAAAUUGCAGUGAAUGAGAUCAUCAUCAUCAUACUCCAGCUUAACUGGCGCAAAUUUGUUCUUGCGACAUCAUAGUUAUCGACAUAACAGGUAACCCCGUCUUAAAUGAACUUGUACGUUAGUAGUGAACUUCCUGUGUUGUGAUCUUGUGAGGUGGAAACAGGAUAGGUCAUGCUAACAAAAUUUAGGAGGUAUUAAGCACUGUGAUAGGGGAACAAUAGAGAGCAAAAACCUCGCUUAAGUUUCAGACUAUCACCUAUACUCGGGCGGUUCAGUUUACUCGUUUUCCCUUGUAGGGGGAUCCUUAGGUAUCAAUAGCGUGGAUAAGAGUUUUGAUCAUUACUAAAAACCUGAGCUUAUCUAAGUACUAGAUGCCAGUGAGACCAAAUCUUCUCUGUUCACACUUCACAAGCAACUUGUGCAGUUAGAUAGAAGUACAGCUUGCAGUUGCACUGCCUUUAGCUUCUUUGAGUGAUAUUUUAGAUGCGGGACUACAGUUUCUAAGAUAGUUUUUUUCUGAGAUCAAGUAAAAUAAUAAAGAUUUGUUAUGGUAUAACAUUCUGGGGACGUUUGAUAGGAACCAUAAUAGAGUAAACCAUACUAAGUAGAAUCCGGUUUACAUCAUACCAGUUCAAUUACAGAUUUAAUGUAUGGUUUAACUAAACCAUACUCUAUUAAACCACUAAAGGAAGUCAAGAAUAUGUGCUAACAAAACAACAAAAGGUCUUAAUGGUGUUAUGUCCUAAAUGAGUAGGAAACUGCAAUAAUUGAAAUUCUUGAUUUGCCAUUGUCUUGAAGUAUUUAGGCCCACAAAUUUGUAUAAGUUUUUUUUGGAUGGAUUUACUUGUAAUCGUCAACCACCCCUGUCAAAUACCAACUCUUUGUUUGGUUCUUGCUCUGUUUUUUAGUUCACAAAUUAUGUAAACGACAUAUAUACACAUCAACAAAGCUUAUUUUCCUGAUAUUAUAAUUGGGUUGGUCUUGUCCUUAUACUUUGUUGUCUUUGAAGAAAGUUGCAGAGUGAUCAUGCGCUUCAAAAGCAGAUAACUUUUUACAAAAGAAUAUGAAUAGGUUUUGUUGAUUGGCAAUGAUUAUAGAUGAAGAGGUUGGUAACUUCGUCUUCUUAUCUGUUUGGUUAUAUACAACUCUUAGGUCUCUCAAUAAGUUAUUAUUCCUCCCAUGUCUCAUUGUUUUGUUACAGUUGUGUGACUUGUGUAAACAUUUGCUGAUUCCAGUACUUUAUAGGAUCAUAUUAGCAGAUUAACCACUUGAAGUGUAUGCAGUUUAUGGAAAUAAGUAGUGUAUGCAAUUAAUGGAAAGAAGUGGUAAUCUCAUGUAUCGACUAGCUUUUUGACUAAAUCAAAUCUCUAGUAACCUUUGUGUUUAUGGAGACACAAGAAAGCUUAUAUAAAGCUAAAGCUGGCCCCUGUGAGGACAACAGCUCUGGUGAAGAAGACAGGCUUGAGCCUUUUCUUCUUGGAGUGACGAACCAAAGUAUUGAUUUUUUUUCCAUAAAACUACAAAGCUGCAAUAAACGUCACUCUCAAGUCUCAAACCUUAGGUUUGCUUUUGCUUCAUUGGUUCCUUCUUCUCGUUUUUUGUUUUUUCGAGUACAGCUAAUUUAAUUUCCUACAUAAUUUUUCGAACUCGCCUCUCUGUUAACAGCUGUAUCCAAAAUUUAGAUUUAAAUAUUUUAGUUUUCUAAAGAAAAGAAUCCAUGCUCUCUUUAAUUAAGAGCUGACGAAUCCUCCAUAGUCCAUAUCCAAUACCAACCAUGGACACGGUUUCGUUUCGUUUUCAAAGUUUCCAAUGCUUUUUUAGUAAAAUAAGGCACGUAUUUUUGAUGUUCCAAAUUUUCAAUGCGCGAAACUUAUCCUAUAAAUUACUUUGCGUAUUUUAAAAUAGAAGAAAAGAAAAAAGUAUCGGCUUGUACUGGAGGAGGUUGGUGAAUUUUAUAAGACCCUUUGUCCUCUAGCGAUUCUCUACCUAAUCUAGCUUCAAUACAACAUAGCCACUGGCAUUUUAUAUUAAUGCUAGUAAUUGUUAUCUAAUCUUUGUGUGAUGAUUGAUUAGUUUAGAUUAUAUGUUCAUGAAAAUCGGUGUUAAAAUCAGGAUAGGUAUUGGAACAAGAUAUACGUUCUUGGGAUAAACAAUGCAUCCCUUAAUCCCUUUUUAUCUUUUACAGAAUCCAUAAAACAUUGAUAUCAUAACGUGUAAAGUAUAUGUAUGGAAUGAUAAAAGUUUGGCUGCAUACUAGAUGAUUAAUCAAGCUGCGGUCGACAAAUUGGCUUGGUGUUUGGUUCGGUUUGAUUAGAUGUUUGAUUAAUUGGUUAAAUGCUUGGUUAUUUGUUUAGACUUGAUAUUAAGAGAGCAAUAUUUUUUAAAAAAUGCAGUAGUAAAAAAUUGUCAGGUGAGACAAUACCGAAGGAGAAUUUAAGUGUGUAUGUGUGUGUGGAGAAGAGUGAGGUACACGUACCUUUCUCUCUCUUUCUACUCUUUAACCCUGUCCAUGGCAUGGCAAUAUCCCCACCUGGCUUGUCUAUGUGGCUUGGACUAUAUAUUUUCUUUUGCUUUUAACAAAAUUAUUAUUUAUGGUUUUUAGCUUCUCAAGGCUUUGAUAUCAUCCGAGGGUAUGGAUUGGAGAUAAAUGUUAUAGCCAAUUAAAAAGGUUGACACUGAAUUUUAACUGGUACCUUAAUGAGAGUAAGAAAAUAAAACAAACUUAGGUCUAAUAAAUGUAUGGUUGCAUGCGAAACUCCCCCAUCUCAUCAAUGAACAAUCCAGUUGACUUCUUCCAAUCAUCAAGAGGAGCCAGACAUUGCAAGUUUCAACAUACCCACUGCGCUUUAGCAAAUGUAAAAUGGUUUUAGUUUCCUGUCUAAAUCUAAUUCUUUAUUAUGUAGGAUUUACUCUGCAUGCCACUCUUUUUAUCAUACGACUUUGUUUUCAUUACAAAACUUAUUAUAUAAAUAUCUUUGUUCAAAAGCAUAAAAUAUAAAUAUCUAGUUCUGCUGAAAUGACAGCCAAAAAUAAUGUAAUUUUUAAUGGAAUGAAAAUCGUCUUCAUUAACCACAUCUUUUUUAUUUAUUUAUUAUCAUUGUAUAUUGUCUUUGCUCUGUCCUAUAAAAACACUCGACCUCCUCUGUCUCAAAAUUUCAAAACCAUUCCUUGGACUCCACUGUUCUAUCAUCCGCCAUGAAAACUUGUUUGAUCUUCUUCCUCUACACAACAAUUCUCAAUUACUGUUUC
rnacentral:lncRNA from 1 species